GUCCAGUCACCAAGAAGCACUCUUCAAGUUAACGGUUCGUGGAUCAACAUAGACGCACCAGUCAGUCGUGAAUAAGUUUUUGAAGUAGGGGGCACUGUACAUUAAGAACCACCAGAACAGACCUAAGAACAGAUAACUUCAUCGUCCAUCACGAGUUAUGUCCAUCAUCAGUAGCCAAAAGAAAUCAAAGUGGCUUGACAUUUUGCAAUCCUUCUGCAAGACCAUGCUUGUGCCUGUGUACGUUGACAAUCAGGACCAAACUGAUGACCUACUUUCACCUCACUUCAUUUCUGGACAGGACACCCACACAGACUCACAGUGACACAAUCAAGUUUACACAAUAUGGAUGUCCUUUUUCCAGAGUCCAUCAUCUGUUCCCUUGCUGGUUUGGAAAAUCUCACCAUGCUGGAGGCUGAGGAGAAAUUUCUACAAGGGCCUGUCAUUGACAUAAGUGAGCGGGAGCAGUUUGACAGGAGGAUUAAGAACAUUUUGAGGAAGAGUGGCAACCCUAUCGAGAGCCAUCAAUCCUGUUUUUGAUAAUGGUCUUAAUAAAUAAUGUUGUUCACAAGAAAAUUGUCACUUUUUUCUUAGAAGAUAAAAGACCUUAGAAAUUUCUUAAAGUGGUGAAUUGUGUUUUUCUUCAUUACAUAGUAUGCAGGACACUGUUCUAAAUGCACGGCAGAUAUUUAAUUGAUGGUUCAUAUGAUUGCUCUUAAUGUCUUAUGGGCUAACUAUGGUUAAUAUUUGAAUGUAACUUUAUACAUGCCUAUACAUUCACAACAAACACUCAAGUCUUCUGUAUAUUUGUAUAUUACUGGCCACAGUAGAUUAAAUAUUAUUGUUGUACUGUACAUCUGAUCCAACUGUAUUAUUAUUAAUUUUUCAAUUCACAAAAACACUAAAUUGCAGUUGCAAUGGCAAAUCAAUUUUCUCCUGUAAGCUAUGUAUUAAGACCGUUAGUAGAUAUCUACAAAUAUUUAAACCUGUUCUGCAAAUCGUUAGUUAAGCCAUGGUUUCUGUAGUAAGAC